rnacentral:rRNA from 1 species
CAGUCGCGCGGGAAUACGAAGGGUGCAAGCGUUAAUCGGAAUUACUGGGCGUAAAGCGUGCGUAGGCGGUUUGUUAAGUCUGCUGUGAAAUCCCCGGGCUCAACCUGGGAAUGGCAGUGGAUACUGGCAAGCUAGAGUGUGUCAGAGGAUGGUGGAAUUCCCGGUGUGGCGGUGAAAUGCGUAGAGAUCGGGAGGAACAUCAGUGGCGAAGGCGGCCAUCUGGGACAACACUGACGCUGAGGCACGAAAGCGUGGGGAGCAAACAGGAUUAGAUACCCCUGUAGUCCCUGUCUCUUAUACA